rnacentral:rRNA from 1 species
GAUGAACGCUGGCGGCGUGCCUAAUACAUGCAAGUCGAGCGAACGGACGAGAAGCUUGCUUCUCUGAUGUUAGCGGCGGACGGGUGAGUAACACGUGGAUAACCUACCUAUAAGACUGGGAUAACUUCGGGAAACCGGAGCUAAUACCGGAUAAUAUUUUGAACCGCAUGGUUCAAAAGUAAAAGACGGUCUUGCUGUCACUUAUAGAUGGAUCCGCGCUGCAUUAGCUAGUUGGUAAGGUAACGGCUUACCAAGGCAACGAUGCAUAGCCGACCUGAGAGGGUGAUCGGCCACACUGGAACUGAGACACGGUCCAGGCUCCUACGGGAGGCAGCAGUAGGGAAUCUUCCGCAAUGGGCGAAAGCCUGACGGAGCAACGCCGCGUGAGUGAUGAAGGUCUUCGGAUCGUAAAACUCUGUUAUGAGGGAAGAACAUAUGUGUAAGGAACUGUGCACAUCUUGACGGUACCUAAUCAGAAAGCCACGGCUAACUACGUG